rnacentral:rRNA from 1 species
AUACGGAGGGUGCAAGCGUUAUCCGGAAUCAUUGGGUUUAAAGGGUCCGUAGGCGGACUAUUAAGUCAGAGGUGAAAUCCCACAGCUCAACUGUGGAACUGCCUUUGAUACUGGUAGUCUUGAGUUAUAUGGAAGUAGAUAGAAUGUGUAGUGUAGCGGUGAAAUGCAUAGAUAUUACACAGAAUACCGAUUGCGUAGGCAGUCUACUACGUAUAUACUGACGCUAAGGGACGAAAGCGUGGGGAGCGAACAGGAUUAGAAACCCCAGUAGUCC